GGGGAUGUACCGGUUUCGACGGGGAUAGGUGGUGUAUGAUAAGCGAGCCGUGAUUCCAUUAACACGUUAAACGGUGGACGUUUAAAUUUAAACGCAGAUUCAAAUUACGCUUUAGCAGCUUAAUGCUAACAUCCUUCUGAUCCGCCUCCCGUAGGAGAGGAAAGGAUGACGCUAUUCGGGAUCGUUCAAAGAAUUGUUUGGCUUCUUUGAAUUAAAUCUACAAACUAGCAACUUAAAAGCCUGUCUUUUGGCGAUUAAGAAGCGAAACUUAAAUAAAAGACUGCGCUCGGAGAAAGUUAUAUAACAAUAUUUUCGGACAGGGGUUCGACUCCCCUCAUCUCCACCA
rnacentral:tmRNA from 1 species